AGACUAGCAACUCCUAUCUCUACCUCCUCGUGGUACUGGCCGGAAACUAUGAGCAACCUUAGGGAAGAUCGGGUAACCAACCCCGGUGGGAACUUUGGUCAUAGGCUGACAGGGAAGG
rnacentral:ribozyme from 1 species